rnacentral:rRNA from 1 species
UAGGGAAUCUUCCGCAAUGGGCGAAAGCCUGCCGGAGCAACGCCGCGUGAGUGAUGAAGGUCUUCGGAUCGUAAAACUCUGUUAUUAGGGAAGAACAAAUGUGUAAGUCACUAUGCACGUCUUGACGGUACCUAAUCAGAAAGCCACGGCUAACUACGUGCCAGCAGCCGCGGUAAUACGUAGGUUGCAAGCGUUAUCCGGAAUUAAUGGGCGUAAAGCGCGCGUAGGCGGUUUUUUAAGACUGUUGUGAAAGCCCACGGAUCAACCGAGGAGGGUCAUUUGAAACUGUAAAACUUGAGUGCAGAAUAGGAAAGUGAAAUACCAUGUGUAUCGUUGAAAUGCGAAAAGAUAUGGAGAAACACCAGUGGCGAAUACGACUUUCUGAUCUGUAAAUGACACUGAUAUGCGAAAGCGUGGGGAUCAAACAGG